UAUACAUGCAAGUCGUACGCCUGGCCCAACUGAUUGAUGGUGCUUGCACCUGAUUGACGAUGGAUCACCAGUGAGUGGCGGACGGGUGAGUAACACGUAGGUAACCUGCCCCGGAGCGGGGGAUAACAUUUGGAAACAGAUGCUAAUACCGCAUAACAACAAAAGCCACAUGGCUUUUGUUUGAAAGAUGGCUUUGGCUAUCACUCUGGGAUGGACCUGCGGUGCAUUAGCUAGUUGGUAAGGUAACGGCUUACCAAGGCGAUGAUGCAUAGCCGAGUUGAGAGACUGAUCGGCCACAAUGGAACUGAGACACGGUCCAUACUCCUACGGGAGGCAGCAGUAGGGAAUCUUCCACAAUGGGCGCAAGCCUGAUGGAGCAACACCGCGUGAGUGAAGAAGGGUUUCGGCUCGUAAAGCUCUGUUGUUGGAGAAGAACGUGCGUGAGAGUAACUGUUCACGCAGUGACGGUAUCCAACCAGAAAGUCACGGCUAACUACGUGCCAGCAGCCGCGGUAAUACGUAGGUGGCAAGCGUUAUCCGGAUUUAUUGGGCGUAAAGCGAGCGCAGGCGGUUGCUUAGGUCUGAUGUGAAAGCCUUCGGCUUAACCGAAGAAGUGCAUCGGAAACCGGGCGACUUGAGUGCAGAAGAGGACAGUGGAACUCCAUGUGUAGCGGUGGAAUGCGUAGAUAUAU
rnacentral:rRNA from 1 species